rnacentral:lncRNA from 1 species
GAUAACUAUUUCAAUUAUACUGGGUUUGGUGUCAUAGAAAUAUCAUGUAUUAAUUGCAGUAUUAGUAAACAAGUCUUUCGAGCAUUUGAAAAAUUCAACCACCAGCAGUUGCAUGGAAUAAGGUGCAAAGCCGAGUAAAGAGACGUGGGAAGUCCAUUAGCUAUAGGCGAUCUGAGCUUUACAAUCAAAGUUAUUAGGAGUUCCAGAUCAUUCACGCACAGAAAACAAAAUGCUAUAUAAUAACACAAGACACAAAUAAUAAAAAUUUAAGUACAGUUCAUGUUUAUAAAGACUCCUUACAAAUGAGUGCAAACAACGGCAUACACUAUACACAAAUUAUGUAAACAUAGAUCACAGUUAUGACUAUGACGCUUUACUACUG